rnacentral:rRNA from 1 species
UACGAGGGGUCCUAGCGUUGUUCGGAAUUAUUGGGCGUAAAGAGUAUGUAGGCGGCUAGAUAAGUCAGGUGUGAAAGCCCCGGGCUCAACCCGGGAAGUGCAUUUGAUACUGUCUAGCUUGAGUACUGGAGAGGGUAGUGGAAUUCCAGGUGUAGUGGUGAAAUACGUAGAUAUCUGGAGGAACACCGGUGGCGAAGGCGGCUACCUGGCCAUGUACUGACGCUGAGAUACGAAAGCGUGGGGAGCAAACAGG